rnacentral:rRNA from 1 species
AGAGUUUGAUCCUGGCUCAGGAUGAACGCUGGCGGCGUGCCUAAUACAUGCAAGUCGAGCGAAUGGAUUAAGAGCUUGCUCUUAUGAAGUUAGCGGCGGACGGGUGAGUAACACGUGGGUAACCUGCCCAUAAGACUGGGAUAACUCCGGGAAACCGGGGCUAAUACCGGAUAACAUUUUGAACUGCAUGGUUCGAAAUUGAAAGGCGGCUUCGGCUGUCACUUAUGGAUGGACCCGCGUCGCAUUAGCUAGUUGGUGAGGUAACGGCUCACCAAGGCAACGAUGCGUAGCCGACCUGAGAGGGUGAUCGGCCACACUGGGACUGAGACACGGCCCAGACUCCUACGGGAGGCAGCAGUAGGGAAUCUUCCGCAAUGGACGAAAGUCUGACGGAGCAACGCCGCGUGAGUGAUGAAGGCUUUCGGGUCGUAAAACUCUGUUGUUAGGGAAGAACAAGUGCUAGUUGAAUAAGCUGGCACCUUGACGGUACCUAACCAGAAAGCCACGGCUAACUACGUGCCAGCAGCCGCGGUAAUACGUAGGUGGCAAGCGUUAUCCGGAAUUAUUGGGCGUAAAGCGCGCGCAGGUGGUUUCUUAAGUCUGAUGUGAAAGCCCACGGCUCAACCGUGGAGGGUCAUUGGAAACUGGGAGACUUGAGUGCAGAAGAGGAAAGUGGAAUUCCAUGUGUAGCGGUGAAAUGCGUAGAGAUAUGGAGGAACACCAGUGGCGAAGGCGACUUUCUGGUCUGUAACUGACACUGAGGCGCGAAAGCGUGGNNAGCAAACAGGAUUAGAUACCCCCGUAGUCC